rnacentral:rRNA from 1 species
CAUGCCGUAAACGGUGGGCGCUAGGUGUGGGUUUCCUUCCACGGGAUCCGUGCCGUAGCUAACGCAUUAAGCGCCCCGCCUGGGGAGUACGGCCGCAAGGCUAAAACUCAAAGGAAUUGACGGGGGCCCGCACAAGCGGCGGAGCAUGUGGAUUAAUUCGAUGCAACGCGAAGAACCUUACCUGGGCUUGACAUAUACAGGAUCGCGCCAGAGAUGGUGUUUCCCUUGUGGCUUGUAUACAGGUGG